GAUAUGGCUCAGGAUGAACGCUAGCUACAGGCUUAACACAUGCAAGUCGAGGGGCAGCAUGUUGGUUGCUUGCAACCGAUGAUGGCGACCGGCGCACGGGUGAGUAACGCGUAUCCAACCUACCCUUGUCCAUCGGAUAACCCGUCGAAAGGCGGCCUAACACGAUAUGCGGUUCACAGCAGGCAUCUAACGUGAACGAAAUGUGAAGGAGAAGGAUGGGGAUGCGU
rnacentral:rRNA from 1 species